rnacentral:rRNA from 1 species
UACGAGGGGUGCAAGCGUUGCUCGGAAUUAUUGGGCGUAAAGGGUUGGUAGGUGGUCUUGUUUGUCUCGGGGUGAAAGCCCAGGGCUUAACCCUGGAAGUGCCCGAGAAACGGCAAGACUAGAAUCUUGGAGAGGCGAGCGGAAUUCCGAGGUGAGCGGUGAAAUGCGUAGAUAAUCUGGAGGAACACCGGUGGCGAAGGCGGCGAGUCCU